rnacentral:rRNA from 1 species
AUGGAUUUGCUGCGUCACCAUGGCUUCCCAAGUCGCUUCAGGGAUUGGAUCUCUGCCCUUCUUUCCUCGGCAUCUUCGCGUGUGUUGUUCAAUGGUAUUGCCGGUGACCCAAUUCGGGAUGGUCGGGGCCUUCGUCAAGCGGACCCUCUCUCCCCGUUGCUAUUUGUGCUCGCCAUUGACCCGUUGCACCACAUCCUUGCGAAGGCGACUUCUCAAGGUCAUCUUCAACCACUCAGAGGUCGA